CCAGACCUUGGUUCCCUCUUUGUCACCUCAUCCUCUCACCCACAGGGAAUCUCCUCCUUCCGAAGCAGCAGCACUGACACAGAGCAGUGCACACCCACGUUUAGGACACCUCGAGGAGCCCACUGAGUUCUGGUUGCAUUCAUCCCACCCGGACCUCUCCUAUCCGUGGCCUUUUUUGAUGCACCCUCACGGCGUUGGUGGCACUGCUAAGGAGUACGAAGGACCCUGUGAAAUUGGAUGACUUCCCUCACUGAGCCAUUAACAGCGCUGGAACAAAACCCGGGCGCUUAACUCGUCCCUGUCCUCUCUGUCUCGAAAUGAAAUAUCUCCAAGUCUUCUGCAUCAGGAGGAUCUCUCUCCAAAUGGGUGGAUUCUCACUUACCCCUCCGCCUCCCCCAGACAAAAAAGAAGCAAACAACAUAACAAGAACACCCCGGACCAGAUAAUGCUAGCAAAUCCCUCUCUGUAACACUGCUGCGGUCCAAACACGGAGGUGCAGCACCAAACAUUGAGCAGUUCCUGCUGCCCUGGGAGGAGGCACGUCCCACAUCCCAGCUUCACCGGCCCCAUCAGAGCUCCAGGUAGCGGAUCAGGGCCACCAUGGCCAGGGAGUUGGUGGUGAUGAUGGCAGCGUGUGGCACCGGCCUCGUCACGGAGUCUUCCACCAUCAUACUGGUCCCUGGAAGAAAGGGAGCAAGGAAGGGGCAGCUGUGGUGCUGCGUGGGCACAAAGGUUUCUUGCAGAGAUGAUGUUGCUGCAAUGUUGGCCGUGGGGUUCUGUGUGCUCUUGCUGUGCUUGGCACAGGUGAACCUCCCAGAAAUGGUUGUGUUUGAAACAAGAAUUCGGAGGUGGG
rnacentral:lncRNA from 1 species